GAUGAACGCUGGCGGCGUGCCUAAUACAUGCAAGUCGAGCGAACGGACGAGAAGCUUGCUUCUCUGAUGUUAGCGGCGGACGGGUGAGUAACACGUGGAUAACCUACCUAUAAGACUGGGAUAACUUCGGGAAACCGGAGCUAAUACCGGAUAAUAUUUUGAACCGCAUGGUUCAAAAGUGAAAGACGGUCUUUCUGUCACUUAUAGAUGGAUCCGCGCUGCAUUAGCUAGUUGGUAAGGUAACGGCUUACCAAGGCAACGAUGCAUAGCCGACCUGAGAGGGUGAACGGCCAAACGGGAACUGAGACACGGUCAAGACUCCGACGGGAGGCAGCAGUAGGGAAUAUUCCGCAAUGGGCGAAAGCAUGACGGAGCAAAGCCGAGUGAGUGAUGAAGGUCUUCGGAUCGUAAAACUCUGUUAUUAGGGAAGAACAUAUGUGUAAGUAACUGUGCACAUCUUGACGGUACCUAAUCAGAAAGCAACGGCUAACUACGUG
rnacentral:rRNA from 1 species